rnacentral:rRNA from 1 species
ACAGCAGCAGCCGCGGGAAUACGGAGGAUCCAAGCGUUAUCCGGAAUCAUUGGGUUUAAAGGGUCCGUAGGCGGUCUUGUAAGUCAGUGGUGAAAGCCCAUCGCUCAACGGUGAACGGCCAUUGAUACUGCAGGACUUGAAUUAUUGGGAAGUAACUAGAAUAUGUAGUGUAGCGGUGAAAUGCUUAGAGAUUACAUGGAAUACCAAUUGCGAAGGCAGGUUACUACCAAUUGAUUGACGCUGAUGGACGAAAGCGUGGGUAGCGAACAGGAUUAGAUACCCCAGUAGUCCCUGUCUCUUAUACA